rnacentral:rRNA from 1 species
UACAGAGGUCCCAAGCGUUGUUCGGAUUCAUUGGGCGUAAAGGGUGCGUAGGCGGCGCGGUAAGUCGGGUGUGAAAUCUCGGAGCUUAACUCCGAAACUGCAUUCGAUACUGCCGUGCUUGAGGACUGGAGAGGAGACUGGAAUUUACGGUGUAGCGGUGAAAUGCGUAGAUAUCGUAAGGAAGACCAGUGGCGAAGGCGGGUCGCUGGGCCGGAUACUGGACGCUGAGGAGCGAAAGCGUGGGGAGCGAACAGG